CAAGGAUUCCCCUAGUAACUGCGAGUGAAGCGGGAAAAGCUCAAAUUUAAAAUCUGACGGUCUUUGGUCGUCCGAGUUGUAAUCUAGAGAAGUGUUACCCGCGCUGGACCGUGUACAAGUCUCCUGGAAUGGAGCGUCAUAGAGGGUGAGAAUCCCGUCUUUGACACGGACUGCCAGGGCUUUGUGGUGUGCUCUCAAAGAGUCGAGUUGUUUGGGAAUGCAGCUCAAAAUGGGUGGUAAAUUCCAUCUAAAGCUAAAUAUUGGCGAGAGACCGAUAGCGAACAAGUACCGUGAGGGAAAGAUGAAAAGAACUUUGGAAAGAGAGUUAAACAGUACGUGAAAUUGCUGAAAGGGAAACGCUUGAAGUCAGUCGCGUUGGCCGGGGAUCAACCUUGCUUUUGCUGGGUGUAUUUUCUGGUCGACGGGUCAGCAUCAGUUUUAAUCGUUGGACAAAGUCUAGAGGAAUGUGGCAUCUUAGGAUGUGUUAUAGCCUCUGGUCGCAUACAACGGUUGGGACUGAGGAACUCAGCACGCCGCAAGGCCGGGUACUUGUACCACGUUCGUGCUUAGGAUGUUGGCAUAAUGGCUUCAAUCGACCCGUCUUGAAACACGGACCAAGGAGUCUAACAUGCCUGCGAGUGUUUGGGUGGAAAACCCGAGCGCGCAAUGAAAGUGAAAGUUGAGAUCCCUGUCGUGGGGAGCAUCGACGCCCAGACCAGACGUUUUCUGACGGAUCUGCGGUAGAGCAUGUAUGUUGGGACCCGAAAGAUGGUGAACUAUGCCUGAAUAGGGUGAAGCCAGAGGAAACUCUGGUGGAGGCUCGUAGCGAUUCUGACGUGCAAAUCGAUCGUCAAAUUUGGGUAUAGGGGCGAAAGACUAAUCGAACCAUCUAGUAGCUGGUUCCUGCCGAAGUUUCCCUCAGGAUAGCAGAAACUCAUUUCAGAUUUAUGUGGUAAAGCGAAUGAUUAGAGGCCUUGGGGUUGAA
rnacentral:rRNA from 1 species